GCUCCUGUUGGUGGUGCUGGUGGACUCGGUCCCAACGGAGAUGGAGCUGGAGCCUUCAACUUCUUUUUGCUUGGAGCGGGAGCUGGAACCAGAGCAGGAGGAGCGGCGAGAGGAGCUGGUGGUGGAACAGCUGGAGGAGGAGUUGCUGGUGGUGGAGUAGCUGGAGGAGGAGUUGCUGGAGGAGGAGAAGCAGGAGGUGGAGUGGCAGGAGGAGGAGAGGCUGGUGGUGGAGUAGCUGGAGGAGGAGAGACUGGUGGUGGAGUGGCGGGAGGAGGAGUGGCAGGAGGUGGAGUUGCAGGAGGAGGAGUAGCCGGUGGUGGAGUUGAAACUGGAGGAGGAGUAGCCGGAGGUGGAGAUUGAGUUACUGGAGGAGGAGCUGAAACCGGAGGAGGAGUAGUGGUUGGAGUUGGCGGAGCAGGAGUAGUUGUCGGAGAUUGGCCAGAAACACCAGCAAUAACAAUGCAGAUCAAAGAAACAAAGAUUUUAACCUUUUGAUGCCUCAUUGUAGUUGAACUCUCUCUUUCUCUCUCAAACUGC
rnacentral:lncRNA from 1 species